UUGGAAACAUAUAUAUACUUAAAGAGUCUCUUCGUUCUUACAUUUAUCCCCUUCCUUCCACAGUCCCUUCAAUUUCUCUGCUACAUUUCAACGUUUUCCUCCAUUACGCUUCCUCUCAAAAUCUCAUCAUCUAGUUCUCCUCUCAAUUUCCUCAUCUCUCGCGCUAUGAAUCACGCUGUCAACGACCGCGAUGAGCUCCUGUGGCUCCAGGAGGAGCAGCGGUGGUUUCAUGAAAAGGAACAGUGGAUCCCCGAAGAGCAGCGUUGAGCCAGACAACGCGAGUUGCUUCUGCAGGAAAUUGCUGAGGUUAAGCUGCAAAUUCAAGCGUUAGAACUCCGAAAUUCCGUAUGAGGAGGGACGGUUUCGUGUCGGAGACUUUUGUGAAUAUCGCCGGCCUGUUGCAUGUCUUGAAGGAGAAGAAUCUGAUGCCGAGACCGGCGGCUGAUGGUGGAGUCGCAUUUUGUUGGAUGAGAGUACUCGUGAAGAGGAUGCGGAGAUAGAGAAGAAGGCAAUUGUUGAAGAAGUUGUUAAGUUUUCCGACGCAAGUAAGACCGAGAAAGAGGGAAAAAUGAGAGGAAGUCCUUGAGAAUUGGUUCGGAAGGAGCGGAAGUCCUAGCGCCGCAGGUCUGCUCGCCAUUCGCAUUUCUUCUAUCUAAUAUUAGAAGGCGAGUCUUAAGAUUGAACUUGCUGAUAGACGUUGUGCGUCUGAAGCCUACUCCCUGAAAGAAUAGUCUUAAAGAUGAAUAUAGUCGAUCGAACUCUAUGGCAGAUGUUGAGAUAUAUGUUUGGUUCUGUGAAAUUCAGUUGAAUCGAGUCUCUAUCUUGUGCACUUUUGGAAGCAUUGCGUAGGCUAGGAUUUUACUCCGGUGAAGAAUACAUGGAAUUUUCUAGUUUCUGCAGUGGAACUGAGCGUGCUGUUAAAGACUUGGCAGGCCGCCUCAGGCUUCCGCGAAGAGAAUCUAACUGAGAGUCCUGGAUCAGAUGCCAAAACAGAUGAAAAAGGGAAUAUUCCAACCGAUCAGGAAGUAUGUUUUAGAACUUUUUAUUCCAUAUAUCUAAUGUUGAAUCAGAAUCAGGUGACAGAUCUCCUUGGAGUUCUCUUUGCAAGUAUUUCUGGUUGAUCGAAGUAUCUGGUAUUUGGUGUUUUCUGUUCAUAUGCUCAAUGGCAACUGUCUGUCUUGUACGAUUUAGUUGAAGAAUACAUCUGAUACUUUGCCAAAGCAAUGUGUUGCGUAGGAACAUUCCAACAUAUUUUUCACUUGCGA